rnacentral:pre_miRNA from 1 species
CCCUCCCACCGGAUCUAGCAGAGGGGAGGGUGAGGCCGCCGGCGCCGCCAUCCGGCCGCCACCACCUCCCCUCCUGCCAAAUCUGGUGGAGGGG